AUUGAACGCUGGCGGCAGGCCUAACACAUGCAAGUCGAGCGGCAGCGGGAAAGUAGCUUGCUACUUUUGCCGGCGAGCGGCGGACGGGUGAGUAAUGCCUGGGAAAUUGCCCAGUCGAGGGGGAUAACAGUUGGAAACGACUGCUAAUACCGCAUACGCCCUACGGGGGAAAGCAGGGGACCUUCGGGCCUUGCGCGAUUGGAUAUGCCCAGGUGGGAUUAGCUAGUUGGUGAGGUAAUGGCUCACCAAGGCGACGAUCCCUAGCUGGUCUGAGAGGACGGUCAGCCACGCUGGAACUGGGACACGGUCCAGACUCCUACGGGAGGCAGCAGUGGGGAAUAUUGCACAAUGGGGGAAACCCUGAUGCAGCCAUGCCGCGUGUGUGAAGAAGGCCUUCGGGUUGUAAAGCACUUUCAGCGAGGAGGAAAGGUCAGUAGCUAAUACCUGCUGACUGUGACGUUACUCGCAGAAGAAGCACCGGCUAACUCCGUGCCAGCCGCCGCGGUAACAC
rnacentral:rRNA from 1 species